AACAAAAAUGCAGAGGAUAGAAAAAAAAUAAAAAAUAAAAAAAAAUUGUCUCUUUGAAAAAUUAUUAUGUAUUGUUACUAUUAUCGGACAAGGCCAAAAAUCAGAGAAAAAGAAAGAAGAAGAGGCAAAAAAUAAGAGAAAAAGGAAAAAAAGAUGAAUGUUGCACUGUUAAAAUUAAAUUGCACUAUUUAAAAAAAAAAUUGCACUAUUUAAAGUGAAUGUUAUACUCUUUAAAAUAAAAAUUACACCAUUUCGCCAAAUUUUACACUAUUUCAUCCAAAAUUGCACCGUUUCUCCUUCUCAUCCUCUUCCUCUUCCUUCUUCUUUUUUACACCAUUACACCAUUAACAACAAAAAUCUCCUAAAAAUCGAGCUGGAUUUACCUACGCCGCCGACUCGCCCCAUCCCUCCUCCGCCGCCUUCGCCACUCCCAUUCGAGCACGAGAAC
rnacentral:lncRNA from 1 species